ensembl:lncRNA THBS2-AS1 THBS2 antisense RNA 1
GUGUGCGCUGGAGGCCGGAAAGUCGAAUAUCACUUCCCAUCCUGCAUUUGAUGUGCUUUGGGGUUGAAAAAGCCCUUAUGUGGUAAAAAAAAAAAAAAAAAAAAAGUCAGAAAAGUGGCAAAAGUCUUCAACGGCCUGAAAAAGGCCGAGACAGGAACUGAGAAGCUGGCAGUAGGUCCUGCUACUGCUGCAGGGGCGGCGGGCGCCCUGGGUGGGCCACGAGGCAGGGACAGCCGAGGCUCCGCGCUCACCCCACCCGCAAGGGGCCAAGCGCAGACUCAGGGGAGCCAGAGGGGCCGGACCGCUGAGCAAGGGCUGGGGAAGGAUCCCACGCUUGGAUACUUGGGAGUGAAGAUGUGUUAUUUCACCCACCGACUCGUUCCACACGACCAAGGCCUGUGCCUGCCCUGAGGGCGAGUUGGUUGAGCCUUGUACAGACAACUCUCAGAGCGUGGGCCUGGGCCGAACCUUUCCCUGUGAGCAGCAGCAUCAGCGUCUAGAACGACGGCCCUCCCGGUCCACGGUGGAAGGUGCGGAGCUCCCGUGGUGUGCUGGCAGCGAUUCGCAGAAGGGAGAUGGAGGGCCACAGGGCAGGUGCUCGCACGGAGUCAUCGAGGUCCAGGGACACCUUCCUCCCAGGAGUGUGUGUACAGUGAUCACUUGCUGCCAUAACACAGUCACAGAUCUACGUGUGUUCUCUGACUCUCAGCUGGGGCUCCAUCGGGGCCUGCUCUGGGCUCACCUGCGUGACCACUGGGCUCAGCUUCCUCGUCUGAGAAGCAUCAGGACUGGCCUUCCCACCCCCGCGUUCCCAGGGCUUCCACACUCCUUUCUAGCCAUGAGUCAGUCCUCAGUGGAUGACCAGUGGCCUGGGGUGGCCCUCUGAUUCUCUCACCUGUACUCAGGGGGCUGAACCUCACUCUUCUCUGCCAAAACCAACCAAUGAAUAAAUAAACAAACAAGCAUGGAAUUCCUAAAAAUGCAGGAUGCGCUUGCCGGCUGGCGAUACUCACAGUGGAGGCAGGAAGGGCAGCAUUCGCCUUCCACAAAGGAUGGACUGGCGCAGGUUGCAGGCGGGCAGGUGAUUUGGUGGCAAAUGGUUUUAAAUUUCUACAAGUGAAGAAAGGCAUGCAUGGAACACUCAUUUAAAAGGAGGGGACGCUGGUACAAGGGCUGAGACUAGAAGGGGUCGACAGAAUGGCUGAAUGUUUUCCAUCCUACGGACCAUACAUUACAGAGAUGUGAAAAUAAGGGCAUCUUUUUCUCCCAUUAGUGCUGACAGCCUAACAAGAACAGGGCCCCCAGAUGGCUCUUUGCAUCCAUUCCAUUCCUUUCUCCCUUCACUGAGCAGCAAGGAUGCAACAGAGAGCUCCAAGCUUCCUGGAAGGAGGGAAGAAAAGACGGGCAGCAGGAACUCCUGUUAUCUAAGGUAAUGCUGAGGCCAUUGUCAGCAGAAAUAGAGUAACAUUAAAAGCUAAAUUGUCUGUCUGUAAGACUUCAGGCAGUGGCUUGUAUUUCCCCCAAACGUUUCUGCUGAGCCUCAGGCUCUGUUGGAACCGGAUGGAAUUAAAUGCAGAGUCUAGGGCCAUGUCUGGCUUCUCUGUUCCUCCUGUUUCUAACCAACUGGGGACGCUGGCCAGGUUGCUCCCCCUCUCUGGGCUCUGGUUCUUUAUGUGCAAACAAAGAGGUUGAUUCAAGUCCUAAAUACGGUUCCUGGCCCUUCUGUGUUUCUUACACUGAAAUUUCCUCACAUAGCUGAACCGGUUUCACACAUCAGCACUGAACGCUGGCAUUUCCAGGCAGUCAGGUUCUGCCAAGUGUCCGAUGGUGGCCUCUUCCCCCAAGAGCCGUGUUCUGGGGCCUCACCUUGCAGGUACACGUGGUGCAGCUGUCCACCACCCACGUUUCAUUUUCCGCAAAGAACCGGCCAUCCUGCCAGCAAGCUGACAUGUUCCUUGUCUUAGGAGGGCCACCAAUGAGCUCCCAGAGAAACUGGUUAUCAUUCGACUGGAAAAUCAAGUGAAACAUUUAAGUGUAGACAAUAAUACUACAUAUUUAGUCAUCAUGCUUGUGGAUGAAAAACAAAGUUCCUCCUUCAUUAAAAAGCUCUAAAGUCAAGUAAGACUUGACUCAUCCCUGGGUGGAAGUUCCGGAAGUUGUCCUCCAUCCUCACGGGGCUUUCUGAGCCACAGCUUCGUCACUGCCUGGGCUUCUGGGGCUCCCCAUCCACCUGCCUUCCUGGAGAGCGGAAAUCGCGUGGCUCACAUCACACCUGGACCAGUGCAGAGCAACGCUGGGGCUCCUUCGACUGGGGACGCCAGGACGUGCACAAGGACCCGGACCUGCAAAGUGUAACUGAAGAGUGGGCUACGCACCCCGGUUCUGAAGUAGGCGGUGGGAUCACAGAGUCAUUGUGCACCAAAGAUACCAAAUCUCACAUAUUCCUGAUGUAUAGAUUCAUGACAUAACAGUUUACGCUUGUCAUAAUUUGGAAUUGAAAUGGCCUGGCCUUCGUGUGCACACGGCCACACCGUGUGGCAGACGUGAGCUCCGCUUUGAGGCUGUCAGACAGACCCAGGCAGCAGCCCUGCUCCCUGCUCACUGGGGAGCUCAACAUGGCAGCCACACAGCACUCCCUUGGGUGCCAGCCUUCAUCUUUGUAAAAUGAAGAAAGUGAAAGUGCCCAUCUCACGUAGUCAUUCUGAAGAUUAGAUGAUGUACGGCAUUUAAUGAACCUGUCAUAGUGACCUUCAGAAUUAAAUGCUCAAGAAAAUAUUGGAAAGUGUGCUUGGAAAUAUGAUUCACAAUUGUAACUAACAGAAAAGAUGAGAUCAUCUGUCAAUGAUUUAAGUAGCAUAGAUUUCCAUCAUAUGAUGGAGUCAACAACUAUGAACAGUAUAAGAAAACUUCUAGGCCGGGCGUGGUGGCUCACACCUGUAAUCCCAGCACUUUGGGAGGCCAAGGUGGGCAGAUCACGAGGUCAGGAGAUCGAGACCAUCUUGGCUAACACGCUGAAACCCCAUCUCUACUAAAAAUACAAAAAAUUAGCUGGGUGUGGUGGCGGGUGCCUGUAGUCCCAGCUACUCAGGAGGCUGAGGCAGAAGAGUGGCGUGAACCCAGGAGGCAGAGCUUGCAGUGAGCCCAGAUCGCACCACUGCACUCCAGCCUGGGUGAC